rnacentral:tRNA from 1 species
GGGAAGGUAGCUCAGUAGGUAGAGCAACGGACUGAAAAUCCGUGUGUCGGCGGUUCAAUUCCGUCCCUUCCCACCA